ACCCACCGUACUGACGACUAGCCAAUUGGUGGUUUGCCAUAAGCGGCGACCAUCUCCUUUCCUCCGUCUUCCUCUCUCACAACUCUCUAACCCUCUCCGCCUCGCUCCUCGGUAUCUCCCCUCUCUGACCUAACAAGAAGAUUGGGAAAGAUAAAUUUCGGUGAUUCUGCUGUUUCUAACCUUCGUCGAAUUCUCCAUCGAUUUCUCUCUUCAGCGGUCUCUCUCUAAUAGCGGCUGAAACAUUCUUGAACUCUGAGUUUCAGUCGAAAUUCUACUUUGAAAUUUCAGUUUUUAGGUAUAUGAUUUUGAAUUUGAGGUUGGGAUUUAGGGUUGCGAUUUGGGGAUGAGAUUUGGGUUUGGAAUUUCUGUCACAGAGGUCGUUUAGAUUCAGGUAAUUUAAUGUUAGUUUGAAUAAUUAUUAGGGUUUAACCUUUUUAAUUUCUAAUAUGAUAUUUGCUUCAAUUCUAUUAUGUGAUUGUGCCGAGGUGAGAUUAGAAAGUAUUCUUUGACAAGGAGCUUUGAAAAUGAAUGAGAUCAGUUUCCAGUUACUUUGUUUACUGAUUGAUUUCCCUUCACUCUUCUUUCUGCAUAACUCGUUAUGUAGAGGUCGUUAUAUUUUUCACUAGCCUCCCAGGUUCUUGAGAUUGUAGAAAAUUUCGGUGUAGUAAGUGAUCUUUCCGGAAAGGCAAGAUUGUUCGUGGUUCUUCCUAUGGCAAUAUUGGUUGCGUUCUUCGUUCUUUGGAUAUUUACUUCCCUCUCUGCAACUUUGAAUCAGCUUCAGGGGUCCAGGAGGAGCUAGAGCUUCUUGAGGAAGCGAGUGAGUUGGAAGCCAUGUAAUUUGUUGUACAUUCCUCUUUGUCUAUCUCUCUCAUCAAAUUUCGUGAUGUGACCAGACACACAGAGAUGGAUAUGGAUAUACAAUACAACAUGGGAUAAUGUACCACUUGUGCAAAAGAAGAACGAAGAGUUGAGAGUGCAAUGGAUUUGCAAAAGGAGAAAAAAGAGGUUAUCGCACAUUGAAGAUUUCUUUGGUAGCUAGUCAGUGGUAGACAAACAACACAGGGUAGAACCUUUUUGUUAGCACCUCAAUAUGUCUAGAGAGGUGUUGAAUUGACACCAUAAGUGUACUUGACUUGUUAGUUUUGGGAAUGUUCAUGUUAGAUUUUGAGACACUACAGGUGUAUAUAUUCAACUUAUGUCAUUAAAUUCUUGAUUAAUGAAAUUGUGAUUGACUGAAGCACUA